ACCGUUCUAUUUAAUUAAUUUAUUGUUUUUAAUAAAUUGUGAUUUAAUAUAGAGAACGCUUAUCUUAGUUAACCGUUCUAUUUAAUUUUAACCUAUUAAAAAAACAAAAGUUGCAAAACCCUAUUUCCUGGUGGAUUAAAAUUCCUAAGGCCUUUCUCAUAUUCUCAAAUCCUAUCUCAUUAUCUCAUUGUAGCAUCCGUUAAUGGCUUCUUUCUCUUCCCUCUUUUCAAAACUUUUCUUUUUCUUUGUCACUCUUAUCCAAUCUGGUUAAGAGAUUGAUUAUUGCUCUACCCUAAUUACUCCAUCACGUUCUCUAAUUGUAGAUUACCCAUCUUGUCCUCAGUAAAAAAAAUGCCCAUAUUUGGAGCUUCAACGAUGGCAGAACAACAAGCAACUAAGACAAAACUCGAAUUAAGGAUUUCGUCAAGAUUCAUUGGCUAUAAAAGGAUAUUCUUCAAGAUCUUCAUGGAAUUAUUUAUCAAUAUCAUGUACUGUUCAUCGAUUUUUAUUCAUUUUAAUUGUAUCAAAAUGUACUGGAGAUGUAAUUGAUUGAAUAUAAAAGAUGAUAAAGUUUGAUUUAAUUUGGUAA